UCUUCCACCGCCCGAAGUGGCUUUUAUAGAGGAGCUGGUCAACCACGUUCGGCGGCCAAACAUGCAGGCGAACCAUGCAAUGUUCGGAAGCCGAACUUUUCUUUCGGAAGCCGAACCUCAAGCACUUUCGGCGGCCGAACAUCACCUUCGGCGGCCGAAACUGCAUUUUGUCUCCUUCGCCGUUUUCUCUUCAAAACUCAAAAUCCUUUUUGCUAAACCUUUUGAAAACCUUUGCUUAAACCCUUACUGGCAACUCCAACAUCCGAAAUUCCACCGGACUACAGGAAUUUCGAUGCCUGAGUAAGCCGGGUAUUACA
rnacentral:lncRNA from 1 species